CAACUACUCCCUUUGUCCCAAAUUUCUUGUCUUAGAUUUGUCUAGAUACGGAUGUAUCUGUGAUUUGAUACAUCCGUAUUUAGACAAAUCUAAGACAAGAAUUUUGGGACAAAGGGAGUACUUU
rfam:Triticum aestivum genome assembly, contig: Triticum_aestivum_CS42_TGACv1_scaffold_579327_7BL